rnacentral:snRNA from 1 species
GCCGGUAGUGGUGGCGCAUGCCGGUAGGAUAUGCUGAAGAGGCAGAGGCAGGUGGAUCUGGAGUUCGAGGCCAGCUUGGGCUACACAUUU